rnacentral:rRNA from 1 species
AGUAAAUUGGUUAAGUUAGAAAGGGCGCACGGUGGAUGCCUUGGCACUAGGAGCCGAAGAAGGACGGGACUAACACCGAUAUGCUUUGGGGAGCUGUACGUAAGCGUUGAUCCAGAGAUUUCCGAAUGGGGGAACCCACUAUCUUUAGUCGGAUAGUAUCCUUACGUGAAUACAUAGCGUGAGGAAGGCAGACCCAGGGAACUGAAACAUCUAAGUACCUGGAGGAAGAGAAAGAAAAAUCGAUUUCCUGAGUAGCGGCGAGCGAAACGGAAAGAGCCCAAACCAAGAAGCUUGCUUCUUGGGGUUGUAGGACACUCUAUACGGAGUUACAAAAGAAAGUUAUAAAUGAAGCGGUCUGGAAAGGCCCGCCAAAGACGGUAACAGCCCGGUAGUUGAAAUGGCUUUCCCUCCAGAGUGGAUCCUGAGUACGGCGGAACACGUGAAAUUCCGUCGGAAUCCGGGAGGACCAUCUCCCAAG